AUGGUCUUCAGAAGAGGUCUGCUGGAAUUGAUUCUUAUGGCUUCUGUUGAUGUUGACGCGGAACGAACUGAUGUUUAAACUGAUGACGUUGUUGUUUUCUCUUUGAAAGGGUCCCUGUUUCAGAAUAACAUGUAUUUUGAGUCCACUUGCAAACUGACCUCUACAAGCCUGUGAAUUUGACAGCUUAAAUCCCAAGUGAUUCAUACAAUUUCUCACUCCCACUACUGAUUUUUCUAUUUUCCGCACUCCUUGCAUAGAGCUUCUUAAUGUUCCCGAGCCUAUUCAGGAGUUAUUUCAAACGCAAACAGAAAUAGAGAAUCGAGACCUUCAAUUGAUACCUGUGUUCAGAAGCUGCAACUGGGCAUCCCAAAAUCAUCUAGACAUAGGUCACAACCCUCACUAGGCACCUUGGCAAUUUAUUGGCAUGUCUUAAAGCUCCUUAUUGACAUUUAAAAC
rnacentral:lncRNA from 1 species